AACGAACGCUGGCGGCAUGCCUAACACAUGCAAGUCGAACGAGACCUUCGGGUCUAGUGGCGCCCGGGUGCGUAACGCGUGGGAACCUGCCCUUAGGUUCGGAAUAACUCCCCGAAAGGGGUGCUAAUACCGGAUAAUGUCUUCGGCCCAAAGAUUUAUCGCCUUUGGAUGGGCCCGCGUUGGAUUAGCUAGUUGGUAGGGUAAAAGCCUACCAAGGCGACGAUCCAUAGCUGGUCUGAGAGGAUGAUCAGCCACACUGGGACUGAGACACGGCCCAGACUCCUCCGGGAGGCAGCAGUGGGGAAUAGUGGACAAUGGGCGGAGGCCUGAUCCAGCAAUGCCGCGUGAGUGAUGAAGGCCUUAGGGUUGUAAAGCUCUUUUACCCGGGAUGAUAAUGACGGUACCGGGAGAAUAAGCCCCGGCUAACUACGUG
rnacentral:rRNA from 1 species